GGAUUCCCCUAGUAACUGCGAGUGAAGUGGGAAAAGCUCAAAUUUGAAAUCUGGCAGUCUCCUUUUUCUUUUUUGGCUGUCCGAAUUGUAAUCUAGAGAAGUGCUUACCUGCACUGGACCAUGUAUAAGUCUCCUGGAAUGGAGCAUCAUAGAGGGUGAGAAUCCCGUCUUUGACAUGGAUCACCAGUGUGUUGUGGUGUGCUCUCAAAGAGUCGAGUUGUUUGGGAAUGCAGCUCUAAAUGGGUGGUAAACUCCAUCUAAAGCUAAAUAUUGGCGAGAGACCGAUAGUGAACAAGUACCGUGAGGGAAAGAUGAAAAGGACUUUGGAAAGAGAGUUAAACAGUAUGUGAAAUUGUUGAAAGGGAAACGCUUGAAGUCAGUUAUGUUGGCUAGGGAUCAACCCAGUUAUUUUUUUUGCUGGGUGAAUUUUUCUAGUCUGACAGGCCAACAUCAGUUUUGACUGCUGGAAAAGAGCAGAAGGAAUGUGGCACCUUUGGGUGUGUUAUAGCCUUUUGUCAUAUGUCGCAGUUGGGACUGAGGAAUGCAGCAUGCUGCAUGGCUGGGUUCUCUAACCACAUUCAUGCUUAGGAUGUUGGCUUUUAAUGGCUUCAAUUGACCCGUCUUGAAACACGGACCAAGGAGUCUAACAUGCCUGCAAGUAUUUGGGUGGGAAAACCCUUAUGCACAAUGAAAGUAAAAGUUGAGAUCCCUGUCAUGGGGAGCAUUGACGCCCAGACCAGAGCUUUUAGCAAUGGAUCUGCGGUAGAGCAGGCAUGUUGGGACCCGAAAGAUGGUGAACUAUGCCUGAAUAGGGCAAAGCCAGAGGAAACUCUGGUGGAGGCUCGUAGCGAUUCUGACGUGCAAAUCGAUCGUCCGAAUUUGGGUAUAGGGGCGAAAGACUAAUCGACC
rnacentral:rRNA from 1 species